rnacentral:rRNA from 1 species
GACGAACGCUGGCGGCGUGCCUAAUACAUGCAAGUAGGACGCAGUUGUGAAUGGGGGAGUAACGUGUAGGUAACUACCUAUUUGAGGGGGAUAACUAUUGGAAACGAUAGCUAAAACCGCAUACUAGUAGAUGGAUCUGCGUUGUAUUAGUUAGUAGGUAGGGUAAUGGUCUACCUAGGCAAUGAUACAUAACCUACCUGGGAGGGUGGUCGGCCACACCGGGACUUGGAAACGGGCCAGACGCCUACGGGAGGGAACAGUUGGGGAUCUUCGGAAAUGGGGGGAACCCUGGCCGAGCAACGCCGCGUGAGUGAAGAAGGUUUUCGGGUCGUAAAGCUCUGUUGUUAAGGGAGCGGUACUUAACCAGAAAGUGACGGCUAACUACGUGCCAGCAGCCGCGGUAAUAC